rnacentral:rRNA from 1 species
UACGGGGGGAGCAAGCGUUGUUCGGAUUUACUGGGCGUAAAGGGCGCGUAGGCGGCCACCGCAAGUCAAUUGUGAAAUCUCCGGGCUUAACUCGGAAAGGUCAACUGAUACUGCGGGGCUAGAGUGCAGAAGGGGCAACUGGAAUUCUCGGUGUAGCGGUGAAAUGCGUAGAUAUCGAGAGGAACACCUGCGGCGAAGGCGGGUUGCUUGGCUGACACUGACGCUGAGGCGCGAAAGCUAGGGGAGCAAACAGG